rnacentral:rRNA from 1 species
AACGAACGCUGGCGGCAUGCCUAACACAUGCAAGUCGAACGAGACCUUCGGGUCUAGUGGCGCACGGGUGCGUAACGCGUGGGAACCUGCCCUUAGGUUCGGAAUAACUCCCCGAAAGGGGUGCUAAUACCGGAUAAUGUCUUCGGACCAAAGAUUUAUCGCCUUUGGAUGGGCCCGCGUUGGAUUAGCUAGUUGGUAGGGUAAAAGCCUACCAAGGCGACGAUCCAUAGCUGGUCUGAGAGGAUGAUCAGCCACACUGGGACUGAGACACGGCCCAGACGGGCGCGGGAGGGAGCAGGAGGGGAUGGGAGAAGGUGGGAGAGAGAGUGAUAGAGGGAGGGGGGGGGAGUGAAGAAGGCGUUGGGGUUGAAAAGCUCUGUUACGGGGGAUGGUAAUGAAAGUACAGGAAGAAUAAGCCCCGGAAAACGCCGUGCCAGCAGCGGAGGUAAUGGCGGAACAGCACCCGUCUGAAC